rnacentral:rRNA from 1 species
AACGAACGCUGGCGGCAGGCCUAACACAUGCAAGUCGAGCGAGGACUUCGGUCCUAGCGGCGGACGGGUGAGUAACGCGUGGGAACGUGCCCUUUGGUACGGAAUAGCCCCGGGAAACUUGGGAGUAAUACCGUAUGGUGUCUUCGGACUAAAGAUUUAUCGCCAAAGGAUCGGCCCGCGUUUGGAUUAGGUAGUUGGUGGGGUAAUGGCCUACCAAGCCGACGAUCCAUAGCUGGUUUGAGAGGAUGAUCAGCCACACUGGGACUGAGACACGGCCCAGACUCCUACGGGAGGCAGCAGUGGGGAAUCUUAGACAAUGGGGGCAACCCUGAUCUAGCCAUGCCGCGUGAGUGAUGAAGGCCCUAGGGUUGUAAAGCUCUUUCAGCUGGGAAGAUAAUGACGGUACCAGCAGAAGAAGCCCGGCUAACUCCGUG